UACGUAGGGUCCGAGCGUUGUCCGGAAUUAUUGGGCGUAAAGAGCUCGUAGGCGGUGUGUUACGUCGGCCGUGAAAACCUGCAGCUUAACUGUGGGCGUGCGGUCGAUACGGGCAUCACUGGAGUUCGGCAGGGGAGACUGGAAUUCCUGGUGUAGCGGUGAAAUGCGCAGAUAUCAGGAGGAACACCGAUGGCGAAGGCAGCUCGCUGGGACGGUACUGACGCUGAGGCGCGAAAGCGUGGGGAGCGAACAGA
rnacentral:rRNA from 1 species